GACGAACGCUGGCGGCGUGCCUAAUACAUGCAAGUAGAACGCUGAAGAGAGGAGCUUGCUCUUCUUGGAUGAGUUGCGAACGGGUGAGUAACGCGUAGGUAACCUGCCUGGUAGCGGGGGAUAACUAUUGGAAACGAUAGCUAAUACCGCAUAAUAGCAGUUAUUGCAUGAUAACUGUUUAAAAGGUGCAAUUGCAUCACUACCAGAUGGACCUGCGUUGUAUUAGCUAGUUGGUGGGGUAACGGCUCACCAAGGCGACGAUACAUAGCCGACCUGAGAGGGUGAUCGGCCACACUGGGACUGAGACACGGCCCAGACUCCUACGGGAGGCAGCAGUAGGGAAUCUUCGGCAAUGGACGGAAGUCUGACCGAGCAACGCCGCGUGAGUGAAGAAGGUUUUCGGAUCGUAAAGCUCUGUUGUAAGAGAAGAACGAGUGUGAGAGUGGAA
rnacentral:rRNA from 1 species